ACUUCUGGUCAUUUUAAAAUACAGAUGAUAAUCUGUCUGUUCCCUGUAUUCCAGUAGAAGUAAUAUCCAGGUUGAAUAGGUUUUGGCCUUUCUAGGGAGUUUUUCCUAUCCACCGUGCUUCUACACCUACAAUGCUUGCUGUUUGGGGUUUUAGGCUGGGUUUCUGUACAGCACUUUGAGAUAUCAGCUGAUGUACGAAGAGCUAUAUAAAUACAUUUGAUUUUGAAUAGAACAUCACUUUUUUUUUUACAUGGUCCGACAUCUCCAGAUUUAGCGACCAAUAGUUUUUACAACAACGUUGGAUGUUUCUAUUCUGGCCAGUCUGCAGUCAGUGUCACUCAUUAUUCUUCAUUUACAGUAUAAAUAUUACAUCUAUGCUUGCAUCGUCCUAUAAACUCAUAUGUAGGCUAAUAACUCGGCUCUCGCUCUCCCUCUCAUCGUAUUAAUUGUCGCGCGUGCUCCAGCAUAAUUCGAGGGACAAGACGACACGCUGUUGAAGGGAGAGAGGAGAUGCUGUUGAUUUGAACCUGCGCCGCCAGAACACGGGAUAAUACAUCGAGCUGAGGAUCUCUCCACCUGAACAAGGUGCUCCAGUAUUGAACAGCCACCUGCCGUUCUUUGACCACCCAUCACCAUCACCACCAUGUCAAAGGACCAGUGUGAAUCCGUAGCAGUGAGCGUCGAGUCCCUCUUAACCGACGCAGUUAAGAUGCAGUCCCAGUGUCGGGAGCGUAGUGAGCAGCUAGCUGUGGCCGCCGCCGCACUGCGGGAGGAGUCGGCGUGCUUGAGAGAACAGUGUCAAGCCACCCAGCUGGACAUGGCUCAGAUGAGAAGACAGCUAGAACAACUGCUGGACAGCAAGGCUCAGAUGGAGGCCAGUGAUCGAAUGCACCGCAAACUUAGCAAGACACUCUAAAGGGAACGGAGGGGAGAGAAGGAGAGUGAGAAAAUAAGAACGGCUGGAUAACAAAGCUCCGACAGACACCCGGGAAACUUAGCAGUUAAAAUGUAAAAAAUGUCUCCUGUUCUCUAACGCGAUCUAUCUUCUGUCCCUAAACAAUAGACUUUUAUUCUUCAUAAGCAGUUAUUAUGCUAGCUAUAUAGGCCCUCAAUUCUCUUCACGGAGAUUGAAUGUUUAUAGGUCUGAAUAAAUAACUGCUAUAGUC